CUACGGGAGGCAGCAGUCGGGAAUUUUGCUCAAUGGGCGCAAGCCUGAUCCAGCCAUGCCGCGUGAGUGAUGAAGGCCCUAGGGUUGUAAAGCUCUUUCGCCAGGGACGAUAAUGACGGUACCUGGAUAAGAAGCCCCGGCUAACUUCGCGCCAGCAGCCGCGGUAAUACGAAGGGGGCUAGCGUUGUUCGGAAUCACUGGGCGUAAAGCGCACGUAGGCGGAUCUUUAAGUCAGGGGUGAAAUCCCGAGGCUCAACCUCGGAACUGCCCUUGAUACUGGAGAUCUUGAGUUCGGGAGAGGUGAGUGGAACUGCGAGUGUAGAGGUGAAAUUCGUAGAUAUUCGCAAGAACACCAGUGGCGAAGGCGGCUCACUGGCCCGAUACUGACGCUGAGGUGCGAAAGCGUGGGGAGCAAACAGGAUUAGAAACCCCUGUAGUCC
rnacentral:rRNA from 1 species